GACGAACGCUGGCGGCGUGCCUAAUACAUGCAAGUAGAACGCUGAAGGAGGAGCUUGCUCUUCUGGAUGAGUUGCGAACGGGUGAGUAACGCGUAGGUAACCUGCCUGGUAGCGGGGGAUAACUAUUGGAAACGAUAGCUAAUACCGCAUAAGAGUAGAUGUUGCAUGACAUUUACUUAAAAGGUGCAAUUGCAUCACUACCAGAUGGACCUGCGUUGUAUUAGCUAGUUGGUGGGGUAACGGCUUACCAAGGCGACGAUACAUAGCCGACCUGAGGGUGAUCGGCCACACUGGGACUGAGACACGGCCCAGACUCCUACGGGAGGCAGCAGUAGGGAAUCUUCGGCAAUGGACGGAAGUCUGACCGAGCAACGCCGCGUGAGUGAAGAAGGUUUUCGGAUCGUAAAGCUCUGUUGUAAGAGAAGAACGAGUGUGAGAGUGGAAAGUUCACACUGUGACGGUAUCUUACCAGAAAGGGACGGCUAACUACGUG
rnacentral:rRNA from 1 species